GAGAGAGAGAGAGAGAGAGGAGAGUGAUGUUUUUAUGUGAGAAUAUUAAAGUAAAUUUACCCAUUUGUAUGGAAAAGAGAAUUCAUAGAAUAAUCUUAUUUAUGGAUGAUGUCAUGCCAAAGGAGAGAAUGCAAAUAACGAGGAUUGUACUGGUGUCUAGGUUUAUCAAAAGUAAAUGGAAAAAUGGCUUACUGCCAACAUUGAAGUUAGCAAAUCAUGUAGUAAAACAUUGAAGUAUAUUGAGCUACUUUUCCAUGAAUUGAAUUUCCUAAGACACCUAUGUUAAGAAAGGGAAGAUAAUAAAAUACAACUGCCUGUCAUACGAACAAAUUGUAAGAGCUUUUUUCCCCUUAGUUGAUUAUCAUGGUGUUUUGACUUCAUUUAUAAACAUUAAUUGGUCAGCUUUUUAGUGUGCAUGAAAUUUGUAUUGAUGUACUUUUUCUUUUUUCCUUCAAACUUCCAGGUGAGCUUGGGCAAGAAAGC
rnacentral:misc_RNA from 1 species